AUUGAACGCUGGCGGCAUGCUUUACACAUGCAAGUCGAACGGUAACAGGCCGCAAGGUGCUGACGAGUGGCGAACGGGUGAGUAAUGCAUCGGAACGUGCCCAGUCGUGGGGGAUAACGCAGCGAAAGCUGCGCUAAUACCGCAUACGAUCUAUGGAUGAAAGCGGGGGACCGUAAGGCCUCGCGCGAUUGGAGCGGCCGAUGUCAGAUUAGGUAGUUGGUGGGGUAAAGGCUCACCAAGCCGACGUUCUGGAGCUGGUCGGAGAGGACGUCCAGCCAGACUGGGAUUGAGACACGGCGCAGACUCCUACGGGAUGCAUGAGUGGUGAGUUUUGGAAGUUGGGCGCAAGCCUGUUCCAUCAAUGCCGCGUGCAGGAAGAGGGCCUUCGGGUUGUAAACUGCUUUUGUACGGAACGAAAAGGCUCUGGUUAAUACCCGGGGCUCAUGACGGUACCGUAAGAAUAAGCACCGGCUAACUACGUGCCAGCCGCCGCAGUAAAAC
rnacentral:rRNA from 1 species